rnacentral:misc_RNA from 1 species
AAGUCGUAACAAGGUCUCCGUUGGUGAACCAGCGGAGGGAUCAUUACCGAGUUUACAACUCCCAACCCUGUGAACAUACCUUAUCGUUGCCUCGGCGGUGCCCGCUCCGGCGGCCCGCCAGAGGACCCCAAACUCUUGUUUUAUACAGUAUCCAUCUUGAGUAACACGAUUAAAUAAAUCAAAA